AUACGUAGGGGGCGAGCGUUGUCCGGAAUGAUUGGGCGUAAAGGGCGCGUAGGCGGCCCGGUAAGUCUGGAGUGAAAGUCCUGUUUUUAAGAUGGGAAUUGCUUUGGAUACUGUCGGGCUUGAGUGCAGGAGAGGUAAGUGGAAUUCCCAGUGUAGCGGUGAAAUGCGUAGAGAUUGGGAGGAACACCAGUGGCGAAGGCGACUUACUGGACUGUAACUGACGCUGAGGCGCGAAAGUGUGGGGAGCAAACAGGAUUAGAUACCCUGGUAGUCCACACUGUAAACGAUGAAUGUUAGGUGUAGGGGGUAUCGACCCCUUCUGUGCCGCAGUCAACACAAUAAGCAUUCCGCCUGGGGAGUACGGCCGCAAGGUUGAAACUCAAAGGAAUUGACGGGG
rnacentral:rRNA from 1 species